UUCAGUGAGAACCUUAGCCUCCAUCCCCUCCCUUCUCCCCCUCGCGUCGCCUCCCCCAUUCUCUCCGGUCGCUGCUGCUCCCCCUCGCGCCGCCUUCCUCAUCCUCUCCCGUCGCUGCUGCUCCCCCUCGCGCCGCCUCCCUCAUCCUCUCCCGUCGCUGCUGCUCCCCCUCGCGCCGCCCCCCAGCCUCCUCACCUGGACACGGCGACCAUGAGCGCCAGCGAGAGGAGGAAGGCUGGCGACUGGGCGCUGCCGUAUGAGGGGCCCGCCCUCUGCGCGCGUGCCAUCGCCGUCACCACCAAUGCCGGGGGCCACGGCCACGAAUCGCCAUCGCCGGGAGGAGCGUCGGCCGCCGAGACGGCCGUCCACGUCGCUGUUGCCAUCGUCCUCGCCCCGACAGAUCGUCUCUCCGGCGCGGACUCCUCCUUCGACCACAACGCCGGCAAGUGGAACGGCAUCUUCUAGGUUGUAUAUCAAGCAGGCUUCGUUCGGGAUAACAUUUGCAGACGAAGAUGAUCCCGAGCCAGAGUGGGCAGCACAAGAUCAAAGAAACCAACAUGUUCACCGUAGGGUUCUUUCCUGAACAGAGGGCAUUUGUGUUGAGAUAUCAGACAGUUAGGAUGCUGGAGACUGUCCUUCGAGCCAGUGAGCUUGGAGAAGAUGAUACGGGCGAAGAAUCCUCCAAGUAAGUAAUAUUAUGAUUCCACUAUCUUAGUGUUUAACUGCAUUUUGAUGCACUUAUAGUAAGAUUAGCGCAUCUGUUUUGACUUCAACAGAAACUUGAAGCUUCCUCCAGAGCAGAGCCAUUAAUUUUGACCUAUGAAAAACCAUGUGUGUUAUUUGACCUUUCAGAUUAUAAUGUGAGAUGUGUGCAUUGCUUCAUGCUUCAGGUUAUUCUGAAGUCUGUGCUUCGUGACAAGUUGGAACUAUUGCCUUUGGCCAUAUUUCAUGGGAUGUUGUACUUUUUUGCGGGGUCAAGUAACAUCUACAAACAUUAUUGAUGGUCCUGCUUGCACUCACGGUUAAGUGAACCUGACAGGUUCCAGUAGCUCCGUUGCCAUACCGACUAAAUUUUCACCUUUUUUUACCAUUCAGGGAUUAAUGGCUCGGAUGAACUGAUGCAGGGGAUUUACACAGGACAAAAGUAUCUGUCUACAUCAACAGGAGGUCUUAGGUUUGGCACUAGCAAUGGUAAUUGGAUGUGUCAUUUCUUCAACCUGGCACCUCCGUGGGCAACGUUGUUCUUUCCAUGUGGAUAUACUCAGGGCAGGGGCACACAACUACUAAUUUUUUAUCUUCAGCACGUGGUUAGCUCAUGGACUGGGUUGCUUAUUGUAAUGGUUAGUACUGCAGUGCAAAAUACCACCAAUUUUCAUUUGCAUCCGGCCGCUACUGAUUUAGUCGUAUGAGAUUGGAAAUGUUGACACAUUUUAUGAAGCUAUUUUAGGAUUUGUAGCUUUGAGCUAAACCCACAUUUGUUUUAGUCAACAUACAUUCCUGGAUGAUUUCAAACUGAUAUUAUUAUUGUAAGUUCAGGUUUGCACUUGGCUUUAUCAGUAUUAGAAUAUGUAGAACAUGUGUUGGAGAAGUGCCUAUUUUGAAGCUUCACUGCUUUAACCAUUUGUUUUUAUGAAAUAAUAUUCAGCUA